AUGGCAGUGCAGCAAUGCACGGUGGCGCUCGUGGUGGCCGUCGCCCUCGUGGCAGGGCCAGCCGUCUCGUACGCCGCCGAAGCCGGCUACGCCCCGGCCGGGGCACAGCCCAAGGCCACGACCGAGGAGCAGAAGCUAAUUGAGAAGGCCAACAACGCCUUCAAGGCGGCUGUGGCGGCUGCAGCUGCAGCCCCUCCAGAGGACAAGAGCAACAUAUUCGUGAAGACCUUCACGCAGAACAAUGGCAACUGGUCUCUCGAGGGGGUCACCGACGCGUCCAACUCCAACGACAGUCUCAACACUAGGGUCAUCUUCGCUAUGAUGAGGGCCUUACUGAACGCCAAGGGCGCUACCCCGGAGGCCAAGUACGACUCCUUCGUGGCUAUCUUCGGCGAGUCGCUCCGCAUCAUCGCCGGCAUCCUCCNNNNNNNNNNGGUGCACGCCGUCAAGCCCGCUGCCGAGGAAGUCAAGGGCCCGAUCCCUGCCGGCGAGCUCAAGGCCAUCGGCCAGAUCGACGCCGCCUUCAGGACUGCAGCCACCGCCGCCGACGCUGCCCCGUCCAAGGACAGGUCUGCCGUCUUCGACUCCGCCUUCGACAAGGCCAUCAAGGAGACCACGGGCGGUGCAUCCGGGGGCUACAAAUACGUCCCCGCCCUUGAGUCCGCCGUCAAGGAGGCCUACGCCGCCACUAAUCCCCAAAACCCCAAGAUCAGGCUCAUGACCUAUGAGACCGCCAUGGUCGACACCAUCUUCGCCAUGGCUGCCGUCGCCACCGCCGUCGCUCCCACGCCCGCCACCGCUGCCGGUGGCUACAAAAGCUGA
rnacentral:rRNA from 1 species